rnacentral:rRNA from 1 species
CAGACGGGUGAGUAACACGUGGGARCGURCCCUUUGGUUCGGAAURACGCUGGGAAACUAGCGCUAAUACCGGAUACGCCCUUUUGGGGAAAGGCUUGCUGCCGAAGAUCGGCCCGCGUCUGAUUAGCUAGUUGGUGGGGUAAUGGCCUACCAAGGCGACGAUCAGUAGCUGGUCUGAGAGGAUGAUCAGCCACACUGGGACUGAGACACGGCCCAGACUCCUACGGGAGGCAGCAGUGGGGAAUAUUGGACAAUGGGGGCAACCCUGAUCCAGCCAUGCCGCGUGAGUGAUGACGGCCUUAGGGUUGUAAAGCUCUUUUCUCCGGGACGAUAAUGACGGUACCGGAGGAAUAAGCCCCGGCUAACUUCGUGCCAGCAGCCGCGGUAAUACGAAGGGGGCUAGCGUUGCUCGGAAUCACUGGGCGUAAAGGGCGCGUAGGCGGCUGAUUUAGUCGAGGGUGAAAGCCCGUGGCUCAACCACGGAAUGGCCUUCGAUACUGGUUGGCUUGAGACCGGAAGAGGACAGCGGAACUGCGAGUGUAGAGGUGAAAUUCGUAGAUAUUCGCAAGAACACCAGU